CUAGUGUCGGCUCGCCGUGGUGCUCGGGAAGCCGGUUCGAUGCCGGCGCGGCCCUCGCCACUGUGAUCGGGAAGUUCUCCUCCACCCCCGCGGAAACGUUGACUCGUCGCCUCGGGAAGCCACUGGGACCGCUGUCGCGGACCCGGGAAGGCGGAGACGUGAACGCACGACCCGUCAGCCAGGAGACCGGCCACGGCGAUCGUCCGUCC
rnacentral:ncRNA from 2 species